ensembl:lncRNA
GUUUAAAUGGGGCAAAUCUUGUGGGAGAUGUAAUACCUUUUAUUAGGUGGAGAAAACAAAUCAGCUUUCAGGGCGGGUCGCAGAGCCAGUUUUUCUGCUCCCAGAGUGGGACUUGGGGAGGAGACCGCAAUGCUCAAAUAGCCACCGUGCUGCCCACUGCCAGCCAGGUGCUGAGGAGCCCACUCGCCUUUCCUGCUCCAGGUGUGACCACCUUGUGCUCCAGAGCCCUUUGGUUGUGGUGAAAUGUCGACGAUCCUGAAAUGGUUUGGACGGGAAGAUAAGGAGAGAGAGGAGAAGGAAGAGGAGAAGAAGCAGGAGGCAGAGGAGGAAAAGGACGAGGGAGUUGGGGACGGUGACAACAGGAGCAGCAGCAGCACAGAGGAGCCCCAGGACCAGGGCCGUGCUGAGGAUGUUGAGAAGGAAGCCCAGGAGUAGACUUGCUGGGCACGCCGAGGAGGUGGGGAUGCUGGAAGGGGCUGGCCACUGGUAGCCAAAUAAAAGCAUUUGGACCCCAAAGA